GUUAUUAUUGAUCCAAAUCAUAGGUGAUAAGUUAUACUGGUGUACAAAACUCCCACUUUUGCAGGGUUUGGGACUCUAAAAUCCUAAUGAAAUUCACAAAAGUUCCAGUUGUCGUGCUUUCUUAGCAAACAAACACAGCAUUGGUGCAUAUAAAUAUAAAAGAAGUUUAACAAGAGGCAAGCACACAAAACAACAUUAUCGUAAGGGCAUACCUUGCCUCGCAUCUUGUGGCAAGAGAUUGGAAUGAAGAAGAGAUAAGCCUGAUUGGGAUCAGGGGUACGGAAAAUACUAUCACGAAUGUUCUGAAAGAAAUAGCCUUCACUAGCGUACUUGCCCUUAAGCUUUCUUGGGGUCUAGUAAAAAGUGUUGGGAUCACCAUCUAGGUAGAUAUACACCUUGAAUCUCCUCUCCACCUCCGCAUAAUUCAACCCAAAUAUCUGCAGCAAAUGGUAAACAUCCCCGAAAACAUCAUCUUUCUCCACCUCCACCACCUCUAGUUUAGAAAGAUAAAGCUUAGAAGUAGAAGUAGUUGUUGGCGCACACUUCUCAGAUUGGCGCCGUGAUGGGAAAAGGUGGGAAGAACAUUAAAAGAGUGAAGAGUGAUAGCGGUGCUAAGUUUAUCAGAAUCUUGCGGACCCACCCACAUUCUACCAAACGACCACCAAUUGAUUCAGAUUGUUGGUGGCAUUUUGGCUGUGAAGAAAGAACUGAUUGAUGUUUCUACCAGUCUUCAAGACAAAACCCCAACCCUUUAAAUAGACCUAUUGGAGGCUCUUCUUCUGGAGCCUCUCCUGAUGAGUUUUUCCCAAAUCUUAGUACAUUGUUGCCAGCUUUGCCUGGUAAAAACAGUUAUUCGAAUGGAAAUACUUGGUCGUCUGAUGCAGUUUCGGCCCAAGAAUUGAGCGAUAAACAAGAAGUUAUAUUCAGAAUGCUCUGUUCUAAUAAUGCAGCUGGUUAUGUGAUUGGCAAAAAAGGAACUAUAGUCAGAGCUAUGCAGAACGAAGCUGGCGCUUCUAUAAUGUUUGCAGCUCCUUUAACUGAGUCCCGUGAGCGUGUGGUCACCAUCUCUGCGUGGGAGAACAUUGAAUCCUGCUACUCUCCUGCACAAAAGGCUAUAGCUCUUGUAUUCACUAGAAUUAUUAAGGGAAUCGUUGAAAGGUAUCCACCAGGCUGGAGUCAGGGAAGACUUGUAAC